rnacentral:tRNA from 1 species
GGAACUGUAGUCAAUCAUGACAUAUGAAUUGCACUCAUAAGGUGUUUUCAACCUGUUUCA